rnacentral:rRNA from 1 species
UACGGGGGGAGCAAGCGUUGUUCGGAUUUACUGGGCGUAAAGGGCGCGUAGGCGGCGUGACAAGUCACUUGUGAAAUCCCCGGGCUCAACCUGGGAACUGCAUUUGUGACUGCAUCGCUGGAGUGCGGCAGAGGGGGAUGGAAUUCCGCGUGUAGCAGUGAAAUGCGUAGAUAUGCGGAGGAACACCGAUGGCGAAGGCAAUCCCCUGGGCCUGCACUGACGCUCAUGCACGAAAGCGUGGGGAGCAAACAG